rnacentral:lncRNA from 1 species
UCUUGAGGGAGGCUGGAGGGUCUUUAUGAGGAGGCGCUUUCGAAAGCGCUUCUUCAUGGAGAUUUUCUGGUUUCUUUCAAGAGAUUUUCUAGAAAUUUCCAGCUGCAACUUUGAGCCCAUCCUGAAGACCUGCAAAAGUUCUUUUAAACGUACGAGUUUAACAGACAGAAAUUCGAGUAACUAUGUAAGUUUAUCCAUAGAAAAUCUUUUAUCUACAAACAAUUUUGGCAGUCAGAAAUUUCUUCAUAGGGAUUUUCUGGUUUCUUUCGGGAGUUUCCUGUCGUGGUGCUGGUUGGUUCUGUGUUAUACUGAUAUUGGCAGUGUAUAGGUACGAAUUUAUAGUAGAACCUCAUGUAUAUAUUAAUGGAAUUUGCUUCUUUUUAAAGCAAUCUAUCCAUUCCCCUACGUCUGGAACCGAUCCGGCGUCGUGGCAUUUGACCUCGAUUUUUUUUUAUCGAUGGCGUGGUGACCUAAACACUUUUACACGGGUUGCUUUUC